GGGUCCGGACACACUGAGGAUUGACAGAUAUACGCUCAUUGCAGUUCGCUGCAUGAGCUGAAAGAUGCUAGUUCUUUCAUGAUUAUGUGAUAGGUGGUGCAUGGCCGUUCUUAGUUCGUGGAGUGAUCUGUCUGCUUAAUUGCGUAUCAAUAAUAGAGACCUAGUAUACGCGUGGAUUUCGCGUGGUAGUGACCUCCUGUUUAACGACAGGCGUGUGUCGCACACGCGUACCUACGCACUGGUCUCAGAUAGCAACGAACGUGACCGUAUUCUAUUGUUGCAGUGAAAUGUGCCUUCGGGUACGACCCACUGCUUAGUAUAUGUACGUGCUUCGGCGCGAACAAUAUACAUUAAACUAUAGAGACCGCUGUUUCUUCUUUAAACCAGAGGAAGGAUACGGCAAUAACAGGUCUGUGAUGCCCUCAGAUGUUCCGGGCUGCACACGUGCUACAAUGGUCAUUGCACUGUGCAUCUAACCCAAUGUGCGCGGACGCCGCAUGCAUGUGCCUUCGGGUACACGCAUUGCUGUUGCGACCACGCCGAACCUACUUCGAAAGUAAAAUUUCUCAGUGGGU
rnacentral:rRNA from 1 species